GGAGGCAGAUGAUGGGAUUUCGUUGGCGAUAAUCUCUGACAAAAUCGAUUGCGAAGAUGAAGAGGAAUAGCUGGAGGGACGAGUAGUAAAGUAAGUAGUGGCAAGUUGUUGACGAUGACAGAUUCUUCAGAGCUCGAAAAAGAGUUGAAGCAAUGAUUAUUCCUUGAUUUCAUUUCCGAUGCGGUGUGAGAGAGAAGCACAUG
rnacentral:lncRNA from 1 species